GUGAGGAAUUUUCCGCAAUGGAGGCAACUCUGACGGAGCAACGCCGCGUGCAGGAAGACGGCCUUCGGGUUGUAAACUGCUUUUCUGUGGGAAGAGCAAGGACGGUACCACAGGAAGAAGCCCCGGCUAACUACGUGCCAGCAGCCGCGGUAAUACGUAGGGGGCAAGCGUUGUCCGGAGUUACUGGGCGUAAAGCGCACGCAGGCGGUCGCGUAAGAGUGCGGGGACAGUGGGCGGCUUAACUGCCCAAGAGUCGCACAGACUGCGUGACUAGAGGGCCAGAGAGGGACCUGGAAUUCCGGGUGGAGCGGUGAAAUGCGUAGAGAUCCGGAGGAACACCAAUGGCGAAGGCAGGGUCCUGGCUGGCACCUGACGCUGAUGUGCGAAAGCCAGGGGAGCGAACGGGAUUAGAAACCCGGGUAGUCC
rnacentral:rRNA from 1 species